rnacentral:rRNA from 1 species
UACGGGAGGCAGCAGUGAGGAAUUUUGCGCAAUGGGGGCAACCCUGCACGCAGCAACGCCGCGUGAGUGAUGGAAGGCUUUCGGGUCGUAAAGCUCUGUCAAGUGGGAAGAACCUGUUUCGUGCCAAUACCACGAAACACUGACGGUACCACUGAAGGAAGCACCGGCUAACUCCGUGCCAGCAGCCGCGGUAAUACGGGGGGUGCAAGCGUUACUCGGAAUCAUUGGGCGUAAAGGGCGCGUACGCGGCCUGGUAAGUCAGGUGUGAAAGCCCGGGGCUCAACCCCGGAAGUACAUUUGAUACUGCCACGCUUGAGUAUGGGAGAGGGAAGUGGAAUUCCUGGUGUAGAGGUGAAAUUCGUAGAUAUCAAGAGGAACACCGGUGGCGAACGCGACUUCCUGGACCAAUACUGACUCUGACGCGCGAACGCGUGGGGAGCAAACAGGAUUAGAUACCCUGGUAGUCCACGCAGUACACUUUGUUCACUAGGUGUAGCGGGUAUUGACCCCUGCUGUGCCGAAGCUACGCAUUAAGUGAACCGCCUGGGAACUACGGCCGCGAGGUUAACACUCAGAGGAAUUGACGGG